UGGGGAAUAUUGGACAAUGGGCGAAAGCCUGAUCCAGCCAUGCCGCGUGUGUGAAGAAGGUCUUCGGAUUGUAAAGCACUUUAAGUUGGGAGGAAGGGUUGUAACCUAAUACGUUGCAACUUUGACGUUACCGACAGAAUAAGCACCGGCUAACUUCGUG
rnacentral:rRNA from 1 species